CGAGGGCAGGAGAUGCUUGCACAUGCACACACGCAUAGACGCACACCCGCACACGCACACGCACACGCACACACAUAGAUUCAUACGUUGUCAGCUAACCACACCCGGUGCCGUCUUGCGCCUCCUUUUUCUCUUUACAGGACGGCUGUAGCGGUCUUUAUCAGCUCGUGCCCGUUGUGCCAGUCCUCUGCGGCAGUAUCUGGUGUUUCGCUCACUGACUCGCACGCACGCGCCCUUGCUACUCGUCGUGUGCUCAGACGCACAGAGAGGAGGCGUUAUCGCAGUAGAGGGGGUGGGGAGUGUACGGGAGGGGGUGGCUGGUGGAUGGACUCCGCUACAGCAGCUGCGGAGAGGGCAGCCUCUUCGGCGCUCUCGGCUUCUCUGUCACUCACCACCACACAUUCAUCGACUACAUCCACGGCGACGCUAACGCCGGCGCACGAGGCCCUGCGGCAAGCCAGGUCGUUUUGUGGGAGCGGCCGUGCUGCGCCCAGUACCUCCUCCUCUGCCAACCUUAGCUCAGGCCAUACCGAGUCUAGCCCAUGCCCAUCGCUCGACUCGCAUUUGUUACCGGGGCAUGCCGGCGACAUUGAGGCUAUGCACACCGCAUGCGUGGCAGGAGUCCAUAGACGUGGCACCGCCUCGAACCGUCCCAGCUGCAGCAGUGGGCGCAGCAGUAGCACCAGCAGGGCCACGCGCAGUCGAGGUGUCAGCGGCAGCAGCGGCGGGCUGACGAGGACGCCUGGCGGCGGCGCUGCCACCUGCCUCUCUCCAACAUCUGCCUGCGCGACUCACAGCGGGGCAUCACUGGAAAACGAGCCGUCGUUGACGCGCGGGUGUUGCUCCUCCCCUCCUCACGCAGAUGCGCAGCUCGCCUCUUUCUCCAGUAGCCUUGCACACCACGGCUCUGGGUCACCGUCCACUCCAUCCUCAACUGCACACUCUCCAGACGCACAGCCGCCGGCACCGACGGCGUGGCCGCUCGCAUUGCCUUCUGAGCGCAUUCGACAGUGUCAGCUCCACGAGGAGGAAGAAGGUGCUGCGCAGGAGCUGGCGCAGCAGCAGCACGUGCACUUCCGCGUGCCGAUGGUGGCCCUAAAGACGUCCGCAUCUCCUUCUGUCUACCCCGCCAAGGCGUCAGUGUCUGCGAGACCGUCCUCGCAGAUCUCAGCAGCAGAUCAGACCGCUGUGGAGCGGCUGCAAGAUCUCUCCUACGCGGAGGUGCAAGAGGCGCAGGAGUGGCUUGCUAGGGCCGGAAGCGCCAAGCAGGCGUGGGCCGUCUCGCGGUCUGUCCCUGUCGUGCGGCCGACAGAGGCCGUUGCCGCCGACCCGCUCGCGAACGAAAGCGGCGGCACAGCAGCUGCGCUGUUGGAAGCGGCGCCGGCUUCGCUGGACGCGGCGGCUAAUCUGCGCUUUUCUCAGUUUUUUCGUGCGUCACUGAUGGAGGAGGACAGCGAUGACGCCGCCAUGAGCGAUGGUGGGCGCGGCGCCGUCCACGGAGGAGCUGGGAAAGACACGGGCACGAGAGAAGCAGUGGAGAUGACGAGGGCGGGCGACGUGAGGCGCAGCACCGGCCCCACGCGUUCGUGUGGUGAGGCUGCGCCGCGCAGUUGCCAACACGGUGGCGCGUUUCCGUCGGCUUGGCCGUACGUUGCCAGCGAAUUCGAUGGGCCGGGUGCUGACGUGGAGGUGGAGAAGGGGGAUGACGAUGACCUCACCGACUCUCCCAUCACGGGCGUGCUGCCGUCGAGUACGCACCUGCACCGCACCAGCGUUGAUGCUGAUGGUAAGGCUGCUGCUCCUCUGCCUGAUUCGUCCAUUUUUCUUUCGCCAUCCGCUCCGGGGGCCAGCGCCAAGUGUACACUGGUCUGGCCUGCCUCGCCACUGCUUGCGGAGAGAGACUCCAGCACCCCGGCGCGGCGCUCCCUGUCGCCAGCCACUACUGCGAGGCGGUGGUCGCUAUCGUGUUUUGAUAUCGGGCGCCGUAUCGGGCACGGGCACUCCGGCAAGACGUUCCUUGCGCGGGAAAAGUACAGCAAAGUCGUCGUGGCCCUCAAGGUUUUCAACGACGACUACGCUCAGCGCCACGAAGGCGGGACGAAUAUGGUCGAGCGUGCGAUGCGACUACAGGCAGCAGCAGGACGGCACUGCCCCCACAUUGUAAGGCUCUAUGCGUUCUUCACGGAUGCGCGACGCUGUUACGCUGCUCUGGAGUACGCGGACGCUGGUGACCUCGCCACUCACCUCCUUCGCCAGCCGCACCAACGCCUGCCUGAGGCGCAGGCCCAGGUCAUCGUGUACCACGUGGCGCUGGCACUGCGGCACUUGCACGAGCAACGCGUUGUGCACCGCGCUGUGACGAUGCGCAACGUGCUACUGCGCCGCAGCGAGGCGGGAGCGACCGCCAAACUCGGCGACUUCGCAUCCGCAGUGCACCUGGCCGACGGGCGCGCUCGCUGGUUCGGCGAGCUCGGCGGCUCCCAUGAUGGAGGGCGGUCGCUGGAGUACGCGGCACCGGAGGUGAUUUGCGGCCGCGGAUGGUCGUGCAAGUCUGACAUGUGGGCACUCGGUAUCCUUGUGUUUGAGAUGAUCUGCGGCCACCACCCCUUCGAUCACGUUUCGGCGGCUGAGAUGAAGCGGCUCAUUUGCAGCGGUGCCGCCUGCCACUCGCCGCAUGCGCUGUCGCGCACCGGCAUGUCGUUUGUGCGGUCGCUUUUAUGCGUCGAUGAGGCAGCGCGCAGCAGCGCCGCAACGGCACUGGCGCACCCGUUUUUGAGUGUUAAUGCCGCCGCCACCACGCCUGCUGUGGCGAGCGCCAUGCAGGACACAGCAGCAAGCGGCCGCACAGAACCUGCCGGGUCGGCUGCCCAGGCGGCGCCGGCGAGCGUAGCCGUUGCCGAGGAGGCGUGCAUGGGUGCGGUGGCGCUGCCUGUCAGUCGUGACUUGUCGAGCACGUUUUCGCUCGCUGCAGUGCUGGCCAACACAGAGGCCAACUGCGGCAACGACGGUGGCCACAGCCGCUCGACGGCUGCCAUGCCGACAGGCACAAAAACUACCAUCAGCUGCGCAGGCGCUUCUCUAGUCUCUCCGGCGCCGAGGGACGACAUCCCGUACGCGCGGCGGGAUGGAAACCCAUCGGCUAGCUCUCUCACCACGACUUCGCCAUCGCCGACCGUCACCCCCUUUUCCACUGCCCAGCGCGUGACCGGAACAACAAGGCGUGCACAUGGCGCGGCAUGGCACACAGCGGAUGCGGUCGCUCCAGCGGCGUCUCUGUUGUCUACCAGCUCUCCUGGCCCCUUGAUGUCCUUCGCGCUUCUAACACACCCCUGGCAGAGCACUGCGCUGCCGCCCUCGGUGACUCUGUCGGCUUCCUCGCUCUUUGGCGCCCUGAGCGACGAGGAGGCGGAUACAAGCUCGGGCCGCCGGCCGAGCGCCACGAGGCUUAGGUCUCCUGGAAACGCCAGCCGACACAGCCCGACGACGACCCUCAGCGACAUGUCGGCCAGCGUGCUCUCCACGACACGAACGCCGACUACGCUUGCGUCGGGGGCAGCUCAGCCUACCGGAGGUGCGUUCACUGACAGCGCUGCGGCUGAGAGUGUGCCUAGCGGCAGCUUUAAGAGCGGCAACACUCACAAUACUAUCUAUCUUCACUCCCAACAGCAUCACGCCCGCCACGGUCAGCAGCAAGAGCAGCAGGAGACCCCGGUAGCAUAUGGCGCACUGGGCACGACGCGUAGCGGUGAGAGAAGGCGCAGCGAGGACACUAGAGGAGACUGCUCCGUGACCGUCAGCAGCUGGACGCCGCGCCCAUCGUGUGAUGCGCGCACGGAGUGGACCACCCAGGACGCAGACGUGUCUGUAUCAUCCUUGACGGUCUCAUCGACGUCGUCGUCCUCCAUGGGCGCGGUGGUUCCUCAAGCAAGCUUUCACACCCGUGCUUCAGACGCGCCCCCGCGGCAGCUAACUGGCCGCAUUGCAUCGCCGAUGGCAGUCAACGGCGCGCUGCAGGCAGAGCGGUUGCCGCUGACUGGCCGACUGGCCUCCUCGACCAUCACUUUAACUAGCGUCAGAGGCGCACCUGGUGCCCCCAAGGCAGCAGUCACAUCAUCACACGCGAGGAGGCCGCCGCCAGGAACGAAAAGGCUCAGCAAGCGGCGAGAGUGCUCGCUGCGACUUGCCUUUGAAACAUUGAGCGACGAGGACAGCUGGUGAGUAGCGCGUGAAAGGGAGCCUGCGCGCAACUGAUGGACGACCGUCUCAUGUGAUGAAAAGCACCACUCCUCCCCUUCAUGCCUUGACUGCCCGCUCCUGCUGCUGCUUCUUGUCCAUGCCGAUCCACGCACCAUUCAAUCGAGGGCGCUCUCCGCGAUUGCAGCUGCUCUGCAGCACCGGUUUUGCUUGGCAGAUGGACGUCUUUCUUUCAUGUCGCCACGAUCGGCGCUUCUUCGCUUGCACGUCUCCCUCCGCUGCGUGCCCGCUGUCUUUCCUUGCCUAUUCGUCGUACCGUGCGCACAGAGAGCGAGCGAGUGUGGCGCGCGUAGAAAAAAAGCGCUACGGCACAUGCAGCAGGGGGGGGCCGUGCAUCCCCAACGCGGCUUUUUUCCGAUCGGAGACGGAUUCUAACGCCGGGUGUGUUGCCCUUCUGGCGUGGAACGGUGAUGCUGUGCGCCGAGAAGACCUUCCCUUCCGCACCGUCUGCCUGGGGCGUGUGCAGCCUGGUCGAGCUCAUGUUCUUUCAUCCAACCAUUCGCCCCCUUCACCCUCCACGCCUCCUUGUGCUCUCCAUGUGUACCUCCUCUCUCAG
rnacentral:misc_RNA from 1 species